AGAUUGAACGCUGGCGGCAUGCCUUACACGUGCAAGUCGAACGGCAGCACGGGAGCAAUCCUGGUGGCGAGUGGCGAACGGGUGAGUAAUACAUCGGAACGUGCCCAAUCGUGGGGGAUAACGCAGCGAAAGCUGUGCUAAUACCGCAUAAGAUCUACGGAUGAAAGCAGGGGAUCGCAAGACCUUGCGCGAAUGGAGCGGCCGAUGGCAGAUUAGGUAGUUGGUGAGGUAAAGGCUCACCAAGCCUUCGAUCUGUAGCUGGUCUGAGAGGACGACCAGCCACACUGGGACUGAGACACGGCCAGACUCUACGGGAGCAGCAGUGGGGUAAUUUGGAACAAGUGGG
rnacentral:rRNA from 1 species